rnacentral:rRNA from 1 species
AGUGAACGCUGGCGGUAGGCCUAACACAUGCAAGUCGAACGGCAGCACAGUAAGAGCUUGCUCUUACGGGUGGCGAGUGGCGGACGGGUGAGGAAUACAUCGGAAUCUACUUUUUCGUGGGGGAUAACGUAGGGAAACUUACGCUAAUACCGCAUACGACCUACGGGUGAAAGCAGGGGAUCUUCGGACCUUGCGCGAUUGAAUGAGCCGAUGUCGGAUUAGCUAGUUGGCGGGGUAAAGGCCCACCAAGGCGACGAUCCGUAGCUGGUCUGAGAGGAUGAUCAGCCACACUGGAACUGAGACACGGUCCAGACUCCUACGGGAGGCAGCAGUGGGGAAUAUUGGACAAUGGGCGAAAGCCUGACCCAGCAAUACCGCGUGGGUGAAGAAGGCCUUCGGGUUGUAAAGCCCUUUUGUUGGGAAAGAAAAGCAGCGGGUUAAUACCCCGCUGUUCUGACGGUACCCAAAGAGUAAGCACCGGCUAACUUCGUG